AGCUGGUCUGAAGAUAGGCAUCUCAAUUGUUCACAGCCAUUUACAGAUCGAACUCCUCUUUCCCCCUUCUCACUACUGCACUUGACUAGACUUUUU
ensembl:misc_RNA Y_RNA Y RNA